rnacentral:sRNA from 1 species
AGUCCCUUUUUCUUGAGAGAGUCUGGCUCUGUCACCAAGGCUGGAGUGCAGUGGCACAAUCUCGGCUCACUGCAACCUCCACCUUGCGUGUCUCAGCCUCCUGAGCAGCUGGGACCACAGGAGUGUGCCACCACACCCAGCUAAUUUUUGUAUUUUUUUAGUAGAGAUGGGGUGUCACCACGUUGGCCAGGCUGGUCUCAAACUCUCGGCCUCAGCCUCCCAAAGUGCUGGGAUUAUAGGUGUGAGCCACCACACCCAGCCUCUAUAUCCCUUUUAUCUGUGGACCCAACAAUCUUCUGUAGACAGAAGACUGUGUGAAUAAGCCAAUGGUCCCAAGAGAGCACGCAUCCUAAUGAGAACCGAGACAGAUAAUAAAGAGGGAAACAAGUAAACCAGCUAUCAACAAUCAGGAGCGUCAGAUAGAGCCAGGUGCAGCCUGGAUGACAUGAUGAGAUCCCCAUCUCUAAAAAUAUAAAAUAAAUUAGCUGGUCAUGAUGGUGCACACCUGUAGCCCCAGGUUCUCAGGAGGCUGAGGUGGGAGGAUUGCUUAAGCCCGGGAGGUCAAGCCUACAGUGAGCCAUGAUCUCACCAUGCACUCCAGCCUAGACAACAGGGCAAGGCCCUCUAAAAAAAAAAAAGAAAAAAAAAAUUAAAAGAUAGCAUGCUUUGGCCGGAUGUGGUGGCUCAUGCCUGUAAUCCCAGCACUUCAGGAGGUUGAGGCGGGCAGAUCACCUGAGGUCAGGAGUAGGAGAUCAGCCUGGCCAACAGGUGAAACCCCAUCUCUACUAAAAAUACAAAAUUAACUGGGCGUGGUGGCUCAUGCCUGUAAUCCCAGCUACUCUGGAGGCUGAGGCAGGAGAAUCGCUUGAACCCAGGAGGCGGAGGUUGUGGUGAGCUGAGAUUGAGCCAUUGCACUCCAGCCUGGGCAACAAGAGCGAAACUCCGUCUCAAAAAAGGAUAGCAUGCUUCAUAAACGGUGAAAUGACAUGCAAAGGCCAUAGUUGUCAAGCACCAGUAACACCAGAGAGUGGCCUGUCUUUCCUUCAAGCAGACCAGAGAGGACUGUUCUGCUGGACGCCUACAGUGAACAUCUGGCAGCGGCCCUGUGCACCAAUCCAAACCUGAUAGAGCUGUCUCUGUACCGAAAUGCCCUGGGCAGCCGGGGGGUGAAGCUGCUCUGUCAAGGACUCAGACACCCCAACUGCAAACUUCAGAACCUGAGGCUGAAGAGGUGCCGCAUCUCCAGCUCAGCCUGCGAGGACCUCUCUGCAGCUCUCAUAGCCAAUAAGAAUUUGACAAGGAUGGAUCUCAGUGGCAACGGCGUUGGAUUCCCAGGCAUGAUGCUGCUUUGUGAGGGCCUGCGGCAUCCCCAGUGCAGGCUGCAGAUGAUUCAGUUGAGGAAGUGUCAGCUGGAGUCCGGGGCUUGUCAGGAGAUGGCUUCUGUGCUCGGCACCAACCCACAUCUGGUUGAGUUGGACCUGACAGGAAAUGCACUGGAGGAUUUGGGCCUGAGGUUACUAUGCCAGGGACUGAGGCACCCAGUCUGCAGACUACGGACUUUGUGGCUGAAGAUCUGCCGCCUCACUGCUGCUGCCUGUGACGAGCUGGCCUCAACUCUCAGUGUGAACCAGAGCCUGAGAGAGCUGGACCUGAGCCUGAAUGAGCUGGGGGACCUCGGGGUGCUGCUGCUGUGUGAGGGCCUCAGGCAUCCCACGUGCAAGCUCCAGACCCUCCGGCUGGAUAGCUGUGGCCUCACAGCCAAGGCUUGUAAGAAUCUUUACUUCACCCUGGGGAUCAACCAGACCUUGACCGACCUUUACCUGACGAACAACGCCCUAGGGGACACAGGCGUCCGACUGCUUUGCAAGCGGCUGAGCCAUCCUGGCUGCAAACUCCGAGUCCUCUGGUUAUUUGGGAUGGACCUGAAUAAAAUGACCCACAGUAGGUUGGCAGCGCUUCGAGUAACAAAACCUUAUUUGGACAUUGGCUGCUGAAUGGUCCUAUCUGCUGGCUCUCCCCUGAGAUCUGGACAGAGGAAGAUGGGAGGGUGCUCAUCACCCCCACAGCAUAAUGAUCAGCCUCCUUCCUAGAGACAGACUCAUGCAGAUUGAGAUCAAAAGUCCCUCUGCUUGGGAUCAAAUUAAUGUUUGACAGAGCUGGCCAGGCGUGGUGGCUCAUGUAUGUAAUCCCAGCACUUCGAGAGGCCGAGGCAGGUGGAUCACGAGGUCAGGAGUUUGAGAUCAGCCUGGCCAAGAUGGUGAAACCCUGUCUCCACUAAAAAUAAAAAAAAAUUCGCCACG